UGAGUAAUAUUGGACAAUGGGCGCAAGCCUGAUCCAGCCAUGCCGCGUGCAGGAAGAAGCAUCUAUGGUGUGUAAACUGCUUUUGUACGGGAAGAAACACUCCUACGUGUAGUAGCUUGACGGUACCGUAAGAAUAAGGAUCGGCUACCUCCGUGCCAGCAGCCGCGGUAAUACGGAGGAUCCAAGCGUUAUCUGGAAUCAUUGGGUUUAAAGUGUCCGUAGGCGGUUUAAUAAGUCAGUGGUGAAAGCCCAUCGCUCAACGAUGGAACGGCCAUUGAUACUGCUAGACUUGAAUUAUUAGGAAGUAACUAGUAUAUGUAGUGGAGCGGUGAAAUGCUUAGAUAUUACAUGGAAUACCAAUUGCGAAGGCAGGUUACUACUAAUGGAUUGACGCUGAUGGACGAAAGCGUGGGGAGCGAACA
rnacentral:rRNA from 1 species